GCCCGGGUGGCGAAAUUGGUAGACGCACUCUUGCGGGCGUGCUGGUUCGAAUCCAUUCCCGGGCACCA
rnacentral:tRNA from 1 species